UUUGAAUAAGGAAAAUCGAUCAGAAAGUAGUGCACCUCUUGUAUCUCAAAUUUUAAGUCUUCCAAAUUCUUCUAUUUUUUAACCCCAAGCUUUAUUUUAACUCUCUAAAAUGCGAAUGCUUUGCGACAGACUUGCCGCUCUGACCGCUGGUUCAAUGGUCGGGGUUUGGUAUGCAAAGAAUUUCCCCUGCGAUGCGUCCAAAGCUGACGAUGGCGGCAGUAAGGAGAAGGACAAAGCCAAGGAAAAGCGAAAGGACGAGGGGAAAGAGAAGGAGAAGGAGAAGGAGAAGGAGAAAGGCAAGGACAAGAGUUAAGAAAAUGGCUAAACUGGGUGGAAUCAGAGCUCCUUUUAGCUGAUAUGAUACUAGACAUGAGCAGAAUUCAAACGUCGAGGACGCAAUCAGAAACAUUAAAGGCCAAACUUAAAAUUCUUGAGGUAAUACUGCAAGAAAAGCUCGGCUGCCAUGCUUCAUAUGAUUAAGACCAUUUUUUUAUUACGAUUCCGCCCAGUUGAUAUAUUCUGAUGAACAUUUUGGCAGUUUAAUAAAGAUGCGCAUUGUAUUAAAGAA